AGAGUUUGAUCAUGGCUCAGAACGUACGCUGGCGGCACGCCUAACACAUGCAAGUCGAACGAAGUAGCAAUACUUAGUGGCAGACGGGUGAGUAACAUGUGGGUAUCUGCCCUUUGGCCUGGAAUAACACGAGGAAACUUGUGCUAAUACCGGAUAAGUCUUUACGGAGAAAGCUUUAUGCACCAUUGGAUGAGCCCGCACUUGAUUAGUUUGUUGGUGGGGUAAUGGCCUACCAAGACUGUGAUCAAUAGCUGAUUUGAGAGGAUGAUCAGCCACAUUGGGACUGAGACACGGCCCAAACUCCUACGGGAGGCAGCAGUGGGGAAUCUUGCACAAUGGAGGAAACUCUGAUGCAGCGAUGCCGCGUGAGUGAAGAAGGCCCUUGGGUUGUAAAGCUCUUUCGUCGGGGAAGAAAAUGACUGUACCCGAAUAAGAAGGUCCGGCUAACUUCGUGCCAGCAGCCGCGGUAAUACGAAGGGACCUAGCGUAGUUCGGAAUUACUGGGCUUAAAGAGUUCGUAGGUGGUUGAAAAAGUUAGUGGUGAAAUCCCAGAGCUUAACUCUGGAACUGCCAUUAAAACUUUUCAGCUAGAGUAUGAUAGAGGAAAGCAGAAUUUCUAGUGUAGAGGUGAAAUUCGUAGAUAUUAGAAAGAAUACCAAUUGCGAAGGCAGCUUUCUGGAUCAUUACUGACACUGAGGAACGAAAGCAUGGGUAGCGAAGAGGAUUAGAUACCCUCGUAGUCCAUGCCGUAAACGAUGUGUGUUAGACGUUGGAAAUUUAUUUUCAGUGUCGCAGCGAAAGCGAUAAACACACCGCCUGGGGAGUACGACCGCAAGGUUAAAACUCAAAUGAAUUGACGGGGACCCGCACAAGUAGUGGAGCAUGUGGUUUAAUUCGAAGAUACGCGCAGAACCUUACCAACACUUGACAUGUUCGUCGCGACUCUAAGAGAUUAGAGUUUUCGGUUCGGCCGGACGAAACACAGGUGCUGCAUGGCUGUCGUCAGCUCGUGUCGUGAGAUGUUGGGUUAAGUCCCGCAACGAGCGCAACCCUCACUUUUAGUUGCCAUCAUUAAGUUGGGCACUCUGAAAGAACUGCCAGUGAUAAGCUGGAGGAAGGUGGGGAUGACGUCAAGUCCUCAUGGCCCUUACGUGUUGGGCUACACACGUGCUACAAUGGUAUCUACAACAGGAAGCAAGACUGCGAGGUCAAGCAAAUCCUUAAAAGAUACCUCAGUUCGGAUUGCACUCUGCAACUCGAGUGCAUGAAGCUGGAAUUACUAGUAAUCGUGGAUCAGCGUGCCACGGUGAAUGCGUUCCCGGGUCUUGUACACACCGCCCGUCACACCAUGGGAGUUGGUUCUACCUUAAGGCAAGGUUUCAAACCCUUGACCACGGUAUAGUCAGCGACUGGGGUGAAGUCGUAACAAGGUAACCGUA
rnacentral:rRNA from 1 species